rnacentral:rRNA from 1 species
GAUAAACGCUAGCGGCGUGCCUCAUGCAUGCAAGUCGAACGGUUUUUCGCAAGAUAAACAGUGGCAAACGGCUGAGUAAAACGUAAGCAACCUGUCCCUAAGUGGGGAAUAAUUCACCGAAAGGUGGACUAAUACCGCAUGUGGUAGUGGAGGUCGGUUUCACUUACUAGAGCUUUCGGGCGCGUUGGGAGGGGCUUGCGACCUAUCAGGUAGGUGGGGAGGGAACGGCCCACCAAGCCUAUGACGGGUAGCUGGUUUUAGAGGAUGUCCAGCCAGACGGGGACUGAGACACGGCCCCGACUCCUACGGGAGGCAGCAGCAAGGAAUUUUGCGCAAUGGGCGAAAGCCUGACGCAGCAACGCCGCGUGAGGGAAGAAGGCCUUCGGGUUGUAAACCUCUUUUCCCAGGGAAGAAUAAUGACGGUACCUGGGGAAUAAGUCACGGCUAACUACGUGCCAGCAGCCGCGGUAAGAC